rnacentral:rRNA from 1 species
CCCGAAUCCUGACACAGGGAGGUAGUGACAAGAAAUAACAAUACAGGGCUACUUCUAGUCUUGUAAUUGGAAUGAGUACAACUUACAUCUCUUCACGAGGAUCAAUUGGAGGGCAAGUCUGGUGCCAGCAGCCGCGGUAAUUCCAGCUCCAAUAGCGUAUAUUAAAGUUGUUGCAGUUAAAAAGCUCGUAGUCGGAUUUCGGGUCGGGCCGAGCGGUCUGCCGAUGGGUAUGCACUGUUUGGCGCGGCCUUCUUUCCGGAGACCGCGGCUACUCUUAACUGAGCGGGCGUGGGAGACGGAUCGUUUACUUUGAAAAAAUCAGAGUGUUUCAAGCAGGCAGCUCGCUCUUGCAUGGAUUAGCAUGGGAUAAUCGAAUAGGACUCUGGUGCUAUUUUGUUGGUUUCGAACACCGGAGUAAUGAUUAACAGGGACAGUCA